CCUACGGGUGGCUGCAGUGGGGAAUAUUGGACAAUGGGCGAAAGCCUGAUCCAGCCAUGCCGCGUGUGUGAAGAAGGCCUUCGGGUUGUAAAGCACUUUCAGUGGGGAAGAAAGCCUUGGGGCUAAUACCCUCGAGGAAGGACAUCACCCACAGAAGAAGCACCGGCUAACUCCGUGCCAGCAGCCGCGGUAAUACGGAGGGUGCGAGCGUUAAUCGGAAUAACUGGGCGUAAAGCGCGCGUAGGCGGUCUGAUAAGCCGGUUGUGAAAGCCCCGGGCUCAACCUGGGAACGGCAUCCGGAACUGUCAGGCUAGAGUGCAGGAGAGGAAGGUAGAAUUCCCGGUGUAGCGGUGAAAUGCGUAGAGAUCGGGAGGAAUACCAGUGGCGAAGGCGGCCUUCUGGACUGACACUGACGCUGAGGUGCGAAAGCGUGGGUAGCAAACAGGAUUAGAUACCCGGGUAGUC
rnacentral:rRNA from 1 species